rnacentral:rRNA from 1 species
UACGGAGGAUGCGAGCGUUAUCCGGAUUUAUUGGGUUUAAAGGGUGCGCAGGCGGCACGGCAAGCCGGCGGUCAAAUCGCGGGGCUCAACCCCGCCCAGCCGUCGGAACUGCCGGGCUAGAGUGGGCGAGAAGUGCGCGGAAUGCGUGGUGUAGCGGUGAAAUGCAUAGAUAUCACGCAGAACUCCGAUUGCGAAGGCAGCGCACCGGCGCCCUACUGACGCUCAGGCACGAAAGCGUGGGUAUCGAACAGG